rnacentral:tRNA from 1 species
GGGCGGAUAGCCAAGCGGUCAACGGCGACAGACUGUAAAUCUGUUCCCUUACGGGUUCGGGGGUUCGAAUCCCUCUCCGCCCACCA